rnacentral:rRNA from 1 species
CACGUAGGGACCAAGCGUUGUCCGGAUUCAUUGGGCGUAAAGAGCUCGUAGGCGGUUCGAUAGGUCGGGUGUGAAACCUCCAGGCUCAACCUGGAGACGCCACCCGAUACUGUCGUGACUAGAGUCCAGUAGGGGAGCGUGGAAUUCCUGGUGUAGCGGUGAAAUGCGCAGAUAUCAGGAGGAACACCAGCGGCGAAGGCGGCGCUCUGGGCUGGAACUGACGCUGAGGAGCGAAAGCGUGGGGAGCGAACAGG